rnacentral:rRNA from 1 species
GGAAAUUGCCCUGAUGUGGGGGAUAACCAUUGGAAACGAUGGCUAAUACCGCAUGAUGCCUACGGGCCAAAGAGGGGGACCUUCGGGCCUCUCGCGUCAGGAUAUGCCUAGGUGGGAUUAGCUAGUUGGUGAGGUAAGGGCUCACCAAGGCGACGAUCCCUAGCUGGUCUGAGAGGAUGAUCAGCCACACUGGAACUGAGACACGGUCCAGACUCCUACGGGAGGCAGCAGUGGGGAAUAUUGCACAAUGGGCGCAAGCCUGAUGCAGCCAUGCCGCGUGUGUGAAGAAGGCCUUCGGGUUGUAAAGCACUUUCAGUCGUGAGGAAGGUAGUGUAGUUAAUAGCUGCAUUAUUUGACGUUAGCGACAGAAGAAGCACCGGCUAACUCCGUGCCAGCAGCCGCGGUAAUACGGAGGGUGCGAGCGUUAAUCGGAAUUACUGGGCGUAAAGCGCAUGCAGGUGGUUUGUUAAGUCAGAUGUGAAAGCCCGGGGCUCAACCUCGGAAUUGCAUUUGAAACUGGCAGACUAGAGUACUGUAGAGGGGGGUAGAAUUUCAGGUGUAGCGGUGAAAUGCGUAGAGAUCUGAAGGAAUACCGGUGGCGAAGGCGGCCCCCUGGACAGAUACUGACACUCAGAUGCGAAAGCGUGGGGAGCAAACAGGAUUAGAUACCCUGGUAGUCCACGCCGUAAACGAUGUCUACUUGGAGGUUGUGGCCUUGAGCCGUGGCUUUCGGAGCUAACGCGUUAAGUAGACCGCCUGGGGAGUACGGUCGCAAGAUUAAAACUCAAAUGAAUUGACGGGGGCCCGCACAAGCGGUGGAGCAUGUGGUUUAAUUCGAUGCAACGCGAAGAACCUUACCUACUCUUGACAUCCAGAGAACUUUCCAGAGAUGGAUUGGUGCCUUCGGGAACUCUGAGACAGGUGCUGCAUGGCUGUCGUCAGCUCGUGUUGUGAAAUGUUGGGUUAAGUCCCGCAACGAGCGCAACCCUUAUCCUUGUUUGCCAGCGAGUAAUGUCGGGAACUCCAGGGAGACUGCCGGUGAUAAACCGGAGGAAGGUGGGGACGACGUCAAGUCAUCAUGGCCCUUACGAGUAGGGCUACACACGUGCUACAAUGGCGCAUACAGAGGGCGGCCAACUUGCGAAAGUGAGCGAAUCCCAAAAAGUGCGUCGUAGUCCGGAUUGGAGUCUGCAACUCGACUCCAUGAAGUCGGAAUCGCUAGUAAUCGUGGAUCAGAAUGCCACGGUGAAUACGUUCCCGGGCCUUGUACACACCGCCCGUCACACCAUGGGAGUGGGCUGCAAAAGAAGUAGGUAGUUUAACCUUCGGGGGGACGCUUACCACUUUGUGGUUCAUGACUGGGGUGAAGUCGUAACAAGGUAGCGCUAGGGGAACCUGGCGCUGGAUCACCUCCUUAAACGAUGAU